UGGGGAAUAUUGCACAAUGGGCGAAAGCCUGAUGCAGCGACGCCGCGUGAGGGAUGACGGCCUUCGGGUUGUAAACCUCUUUCAGCAGGGAAGAAGCGAAAGUGACGGUACCUGCAGAAGAAGCGCCGGCUAACUACGUGCCAGCAGCCGCGGUAAUACGUAGGGCGCAAGCGUUGUCCGGAAUUAUUGGGCGUAAAGAGCUCGUAGGCGGUUAGUCGCGUCUGCUGUGAAAACUCGAGGCUCAACCUCGGGCUUGCAGUGGGUACGGGCUGACUAGAGUGCGGUAGGGGUGACUGGAAUUCCUGGUGUAGCGGUGGAAUGCGCAGAUAUCAGGAGGAACACCGAUGGCGAAGGCAGGUCACUGGGCCGCAACUGACGCUGAGGAGCGAAAGCAUGGGGAGCGAACAGGAUUAGAUAGCCCUGGUAGUCCAUGCCGUAAACGUUGGGCACUAGGUGUGGGUCCAUUCCACGGAUUCCGUGCCGCAGCAAAGCGCAUUAAGUG
rnacentral:rRNA from 1 species